UGCGCGUCUCCACUGCCUCUCGUCUCCCCGCGAGCCUUCGCCUCUCGCUUGCUCUCCUGGAGUAUUCCGCAUCGAGGUGUAGAAAAAUCCGAUUUUUCCCAUCGGUGUCUGAGCGGCGGUGGCUCGAUUCGUCGAUGGUAGGGCUGGAUCCGUCGAUGGUGGGGAUGGAUCCGUCCACAACGAAGCAGAAGGAGGCCGGUGAAGUCGAGACGAAGGAGGCCCGACGCCCGCUGCCCGUUCGACCAGACCCGCCGCGAGAGGGAUGCUACUCCAAGUAAGAGGUCAUGGCGACCAUGGAGGAGUGCAUGAGGAAGCAGGCCAACGGCAACACGCUCCUCGCGCUCGGCAACAGCGCCUCGGAGUCGUGCUCGUGGAGGCGACGGGGCUUCUGAUCCAGGCGUGGUUGGCGCAACUCCUUCAACUCAAGGCACAUCCGCACAUGUAAUGCUUGUUCCAGGCAUGGGAUGUGUAUGGGGUUCUCAAUUACUUGAAGGCACUGAAGAACAAGUUGAUGAUCCAAGUUGAUGCUGGGGUACUACAACAUGAUUGGACUACUGAAGAUGCCAACUUCAUGAUGCACAGGUGGAGUAAAGUUCAGGUCUGGGAGUACCAUGACGACGAGAUUUGCUACAGGUACAACGACAAGGAGAAGCCUGUGAGGUGUUCUGCUACUGGGAGCCGUCCAGUUUCGCUGCUGGAGCCGGGCUGCUUGAGCCGGUGAGAUGUCCUGCUACUGGGACGAUGACAAGGAGAAGCCUGCGAGGUGUUGUGCUACUGGGAGCUGUCUUGUUUCGCUGCUGGAGCUGGGCUGCUUGAGCCAGCGAGGUGUCCUGCUAUCGGGACGAUGACAAGGAGAAGCCGGCGAGUUGUUCUGCUACUGGGAGCUGUCCUGUUUCGUUGCUGGAGCUGGGCUGCUUGAGCCAGCGAGGUGUCCUGCUAUCGGGACGAUGACAAGGAGAAGC